rnacentral:rRNA from 1 species
UACGGAGGGUGCGAGCGUUAUCCGGAUUCACUGGGUUUAAAGGGUGCGUAGGUGGGUUUGUAAGUCAGUGGUGAAAUCUCCGGGCUUAACCUGGAAACUGCCAUUGAUACUACAGGUCUUGAAUUUUCUGGAGGUAAGCGGAAUAUGUCAUGUAGCGGUGAAAUGCUUAGAUAUGACAUAGAACACCAAUUGCGAAGGCAGCUUGCUACAGGAAUAUUGACACUGAGGCACGAAAGCGUGGGGAUCAAACAGG